UAACUCCAGGAAACCGGGGCUAAUGCCGGAUAACAUUUAAAACCGCAUGGUUCUAAAGUGAAAGAUGGUUUUGCUAUCACUUAUAGAUGGACCCGCGCCGUAUUAGCUAGUUGGUAAGGUAAUGGCUUACCAAGGCAACGAUACGUACCCGACCUGAGAGGGUGAUCGGCCACACUGGAACUGAGACACGGUCCAGACUCCUACGGGAGGCAGCAGUAGGGAAUCUUCCGCAAUGGGCGAAAGCCUGACGGAGCAACGCCGCGUGAGUGAUGAAGGGUUUCGGCUCGUAAAACUCUGUUAUUAGGGAAGAACAAACGUGUAAGUAACUGUGCACGUCUUGACGGUACCUAAUCACAAAGCCACGGCUAACUACGUGCCAGCAGCCGCGGUAAUACGUAUGUGGCAAGCGUUAUCCGGAAUUAUUGGGCGUAGAGCGCGCGUAGGCGGUUUCUUACGUCUGAUGUGAAAGCCCACGGCUCAACCGUGGAGGGUCAUUGGAAACUGGGAGACUUGAGUGCAUAACACGACAGUGGAAUUCCAUGUGUAGCGGUGAA
rnacentral:rRNA from 1 species